UACGUAGGGUGCGAGCGUUGUCCGGAUUUAUUGGGCGUAAAGAGCGUGUAGGCGGCCAUACAGGUCAGCUGUGAAAACUCGAGGCUCAACCUCGAGACGUCGGUUGAAACCGUUUGGCUAGAGUCCGGAAGAGGAGAGUGGAAUUCCCGGUGUAGCGGUGAAAUGCGCAGAUAUCGGGAAGAACACCCGUGGCGAAGGCGGCUCUCUGGGACGGUACUGACGCUGAGACGCGAAAGCGUGGGGAGCGAACAGG
rnacentral:rRNA from 1 species